rnacentral:lncRNA from 1 species
UUCUGUUGUUGACGAGGUUGUUGAUGUUGUGGUUGAUACAUUGGUUGUUGUUGUAUGGGUUGUUGAUAAGGUAUGGGUACCACGGCAGCGACUUGGCCAUAUGAAGCCUGUUGCUUCCCCUUAUAGCCUCUAGAUACAGCAUUCGUUUCACCCUCUUUUUUCUUCUGGAAGCCUCCAGAAUACUUUUUCGGUGCGCUAGAGGUGGCCACAGCUCCUGAAAUCUUUC